rnacentral:rRNA from 1 species
CCUACGGGAGGCAGCAGUGAGGAAUAUUGGUCAAUGGGCGCGAGCCUGAACCAGCCAAGUCGCGUGAGGGAGGACGGCCCUACGGGUUGUAAACCUCUUUUGCCGGGGAGCAACGGGCGUCACGUGUGGCGCCACUGAGAGUACCCGGAGAAAAAGCAUCGGCUAACUCCGGGCCAGCAGCCGCGGUAAUACGGAGGAUGCGAGCGUUAUCCGGAUUUAUUGGGGUUAAAGGGUGUGUAGGCGGAUCGUUAAGUCAGUGGUCAAAUUGAGGGGCUCAACCCCUUCCCGCCAUUGAAACUGGCGGUCUUGAGUGGACGAGUAGUAUGCGGAAUGCGUGGUGUAGCGGUGAAAUGCAUAGAUAUCACGCAGAACCCCGAUUGCGAAGGCAGCAUGCCGGCUUCCGACUGACGCUGAAGCACGAAGGCGUGGGGAUCGAACAGGAUUAGAUACCCUGGUAGUC